AGAUCUGCGUACUGGGACGCGGGGAGCCUUCUCGGGGCCGGCGGGAGGCUGCAGGGGAGGUCCAGCCCCUCUUCUGGGCAGGGCUUCGGCGCCGACGGGGCUGUCAGGGCCAGAGCCCAGAGCCGGUCUGACGCUGGCUGGGCUGGCAGCAGAGGACAAGCCGGCGGCUUCCGCCCGGGAGAAGACGGGAACUAGGGCCACCGAGGGCUUUCCGACGCUUUGGUCUCCACGGAGGGGACACUGCGGGAGGAGCGGGGCUCCGCUUCCGGCCGGGGCUCGGACUUGCUGCCGGGCUGCUUUCAAGGACACGGGGAGAUGAGCAGGACUUUGGGAGCCAACAUCUGCCUUGCUGGUGACGUCAGCACCCUGUGUAAUCCUCUUGUACUGGAGGCAGAUGCCUUAUUUGUUUGGCUGGAGAAGCAUUAAUCCCUAAUUCUGGAGCAGCCAGCGAGGGGCGCGCACACGUAGACCGGACUGCUCCGGACCUUCCCCCGAAGAGCCCGCGGGCCUGCUUCCCAUCACCCGGAGACGCGGGGCUCGCCGAAGGACGACCGGCCAGGCCUCCCGGAGCAGAGCUGCUCAUCGCUUCCUCCCAGAAACCGGGGAUUGGGUGUCUCCCCACUGGAGUCUUUGGAAAGUCACACUCUUCGACCCACCCAUUUCCGUUGAGAUCAGAAUGGAGCAUCACAGCAGCUGACAAAUCUGCAUUCAGUCGAAACUUCAGAGCCGCCGGCAGAGGUCAGCUCGCCAAGGUUUGAGGCCGGUUUCUUUGGCCACUGAUGGCGCUCGAUCCCAGAGCAUCCCAGCACAGAUGUCCUCUGGGCCAUCAGAACCACACCGGAUUGGACGUCUGUUUAAACGCUGCCAAGUUUAACCAUAGCGGUGUGUGUGUUGUUGCAUUGUCUCGUCCUUCCUUCUCCUCUUCCUCAUCCUUCUCCUCCUCCUCCUCCUGGCGGCACAGUCAUUGUAGCCAGGCCAGAUGGGCUGUCCAAACUCUCCCGGGAACAGGCAGGUGCUAUUGAGUAAAUGUUUUCCGCUUUACAAAGCAAGUCGACACGCAUUCUGCCCCGUUCAUUUGUGCAGAGAUCUCUCCAUCCGAGAAAGAAAUAUAUUAUCAAGCACUUCCUUAAGCAGCAAGAGUUGAGGAGGCUUAAGACCUCGUUUCUUGCUGCACGGGAAUGACAAAGGGCAGCUCUUAUGACUGGGGUAGGCAAAAUCCGACAGUCUUCAGGAGGGAUCAGGGCCAGUCCCUGUCAUCCUGUGGUCUUAAGUAACGAGCAAAAGAGCUGGCCACAUUAGAGCAGCUUAAGGAGAUGGCCGUAAAGACGCACAUGCUUGCUUGAAACAGACUUCUGCCCGGUGGAACUGGCAGAUGGGCUAGGAGGAAACGGCCUCGAAUUCAAAGCCAGGCCUGGAGGAUGAAUAGAGGGAGAAAGAGAGGGAGGGGGUCGCUUCCCUUUUUAAAAAGGUCACUUGUUAUUUUAUUUGCAGAAGGAGAGCAAGAAAGAGAACUCAGGCUCUGCCUCUCCGUGUUCACAGCGGACCUUGAUUUAAUGUCAUACAAUUAAGGCACGCGGUGAAUGCCAAGAGCGGAGGCUUGAAGACAUCCUCUACGAAGAAAAUCAUACUCCACAGAAAGAUUUAACCCCCACCCACCCACCCACCCACCCACAACAAGGCGACCCGAAUGCAAAUUGUCGUGCACCUGUCUAAAGCAAUGUAGAUUCAAUGGGAAGGUGUUGCCUUCUCUCUAAACGUAUUUGUGCGGUCUAAGGUGCCCUAAGUCCACUAGCACCAGUUUCCUAAGCAUUACCGUCCAUGGCGGAAUAUCUUUCCAGAGACAGGUAGGUUCACUUUUUUCGAUUUUUUUUUAAAAAAACUAAACCAUGUAUCAACGAUGGAAGGGAAAUAAAUACAUUUGAUAAUAUUACGGCAUCGCUACGUUUGUUGAUUGUGUGUCCACCUCCUCCAAACUGCGCCAGCCAAUUAGCCUAUAAGAAGGUAUUGUCUGAAGACACGUAGGCUCCUCCACAUUGCCCUCCGCCGGAUUGUUGAACUGGAAUCAAGCAGGACAAUGCAUAGCAAUUAGGGUGUGUGCGACGGAGAGUUAAGAGAUCGUGGCUUGUGUUACUUGGAAAUGGAGCAAAAUAUUGGCAGGGUGUUCAGAGGAGAUGGCGCAGCCAUUAGGACGGAAGGAGUCCCGCAGUGUACCUUUUUAUGGCUUUCUUUGUUUCGCCUGAGCGCGAAGGUCGUGGGUAAACAAAGGGAAGGAAACCAUCGCUUGCCUCCACGCAGAAAUUGAGCAAACCUGUGCGCUGUCCACGGUCCUGAAGUCAAUUUCCUAGCAAAGCUGACUAGAUAAUACAGUUGAUAAGGAAAACCGGGCAAAAAGCACGCUGCGCCAUGUUCAUACGCUGGACAGCACCAAUCCGUUUCACGAUUACAUUUUCUCUAAAGCGACCCAUAGGUUGAGAUCGAAACCCUACUGGAGUGAAGGGCACAGAGGUUAUGGAAUGUUGGGGUGUGGAUUUCAAGCGUCUUUUGCGUCAUUUCCUCCUCGCUCAUUUUGAAUAUUCUAGACAUUUAUGACACAUUUGCAGUUUAUUUAAACAACAGCGUUGAGUGUGUUGAGGCCCAGAAAGAUUUUUGGAACCUGACAAUCUGCCGCUAAUGUUGCUGUAAAAUUAUUAUAAUUUAGAGAGAAACACCUUCAUCAAGUUGGUAGAGGGAUGCAAAAGACCAGUAGAGAGAUGUAAAACCCACAGUGCAGCAGUUUGCUUUCAGAUGCGCCCCAACAUAAAUGGAAAAGAGAUGAUCGUUUAUCCCGGGCCUAUGUCACCACGCAGUAACCACUCCUCCUGCCAAGUAACGAAAGGACUCUUACCACUUUUCAUACAUUUCUCACAAGGUGUAGCAAAAUUUUCUCCACUACUUGGCUCAGCAAUACAGACGACCAUUUUAUCUCGGUAAAUUACUACAUAGUCGUCUUGUAUUCACCCUUUAUCACCCCCCCCCCCUUUUAAACUUAGAAUCAAUAAUGUAGCUUCAGGCGCAAUGCUUCAGUUUCCGACCUACUGUCGGAGGUGGGGGUGGGCACGGAGACAUUGCAACUCCAACGACAUAACUAUCAGGUAAUGGUAGGCCAGGUGCCUCUAGGACACUGCUCUUUAAUCUGGAUUAAAAUGCUGCAAAGCGGAUUAGCCCCUACUAUCUGAACCGGAACACUGCAAAUUCCUGGUUCUGCAAGCACAGCUGGGGGCUAGUUUGGUGUAGAGAAAGAGAGAAAAUGCAUUAAAGAGAAAUGGGGCCUAUCUCACAACCCCAGCCCAGAGUUCCUUCUUGCUCCUAUUUAAUAUACCUUCUGCCAGCCUUCUCACACUGCAGCCAACUAGUACAUGAUUCGAGUCACCAAUACUCCGCACGCUUUGCUUGGAAAGUAAACCAGAUAAUUUUAUUCUUUUCUAGGUGCUUCUCCGUUAAAGAAUUUCCAGUACGAAAUCUCAGGAACGUCAGCUGGUCACGAUCAACUGUGUGGAGGACAGCCUAAUUUAGGUUGUCUGUAAUCCAUUUUUGCCAGAGCAGGUCCGCUGACGUCUCUAAACAACUGUGGAUUAAAGAGGUCGUGAAUGAAAAAAGCAAAGCGCGCCAUCUUAAACGAUUUAGCCCCGGUGUUCGAAAGUCACGCUGUUUACAGCAACGUAUCUAAAGCAAUUCACCUAACGCACUAGGAGGGCAGACUGCACCGGUCAUAUUUUUACACCUCACCCUAAUAAUUCCCUGCUGUCCCCUUAGCCUGAUUUUGUAAACAAAUCCUUUCUGGCUCACAAUACCCUAACUGCUGCAUUGGAAACUGCAUCCUUUGUACUCAUUUAAUCAAAAGCGUGGAAAUAUUGGGAAAGUAUUUCAGCUUCGUUAAAGGUGAACCUGAAUGCGUUUUCCCGUUUCCAGACCGUAAACUACAAGGUUCCGGUUCUGAACAUCAAAGGGUUUUUUAAUAAAAUGAGUGUACUACUAAGAAGUAAACGUCCAAGGUUACAAUUAACCAAACGGGCGCAGGGAAGAAAUACAUAUUGUUGAGUGGGCGAGAAAGAAAUGCCAUCCACAGUGAUAUAACGUCCAUAGUAGAGAGCAUAGAAUUAAAGCGUCCCAAUAAUAACCAAGACAGGGACAAGAAAGACUUCAGGCAUUCGGCUUCUCUUUCGAAUCACAUGAAAGCCUUUGAAGUGUGAUAAUGCGCUAUGACGUUAAUGUGAAGAAUUUAGGCGCAGGGGUGCUACGUGCAACGUGUGAGUAGUCAUGUGAUGUCAGUUGGAAUCAAUUUGCUGUUUCGUUCCGACUGGAUUGUAUUGUUUUAAUUAGAGGAGCUACAAAAGGCGUGGGGAAAGUUAAUCGCUGUCACUUCCUGAUCAUUACUAGGAAAGAGAAUCCUAGAGCUUCCCUGUUAAUCUGAGAGAAAUGCUUUCUGCUGUGGAUCUGGACCAGAGAUGGAGGAAAACACACCCAGUAAUUCCAUUCACACCGGGUCUGAAAUAAUUAGGAUUCCAUUGUUUUGCCAUUGUCAAGUUUAACAUUCAGCACCUUUCUUCUAGCUUUGAACGCGGAGUCAAAUCCUGUUCUCAGUUAUUUUUCCCCAGUGCGGUGUAACCUUCUAUCCCAUCUCAAUCAAGACACCCCACUGGGAGGCGAGUAGGGAGGUUUGCCUUGGAGGCCCCCUCUACAGUCAGAAGCGCUCCGAUUAUGCCUUUCUUAAUCAGAAGGAAAGCCUGCCGGAAUUGUUGGGAAGACAGUUUUGCCCUUGAGCUGCUAGAACGAAGCGAUGCUGCUGCAACCGAGGGGGGAAGGGAGGGAGGGGAGCGAGUCUUGCUUUGCAUUUUGCUAUGCUCUUCUGGAAAAGAACUAAUUCGGGUCUCUAGCGUGUAGGCGGCUGGUUAAUUAGAGGAUGGCGCACUCUGCUGCCCAGAAGAGGCAAGGACAUCACUGAAAACAUGCGCUAACUGGCAACCAGGGGGAACAUAGCUACUAAUAAUCGCAAGUCAGGAAAAGUGCCAAGGAAAGAAACUGAGCAUUGAAUUCAGUUGUGCGCUAUUAUAGAGUGCCCGCAGAGAUCCAAGCCCCGGCGUUUAUUCUUUCAAUUGAUGCCGCGCCAACAGAAUGCGAUUGUGACGUCAUAAAACAUUGCCGCAUUCUGGAAUGUUGGGGACAGCAAUGGUGCUGCUGCAGAACGUUCCUUGGGCAGCUAAUUUAGCAAGUCGACAUUUCAGAGGAAGAGUCGGUGAGAACGUGGGUCGGCAAUCAAGAAAGAGGAAUCAGAGUAGGAGAAAAUGCUGUGGCUAAUCGGCUGUAUUUUCCCUUUGUUUACCCAUUGCAGUUCGGGUUUUAUUCUUUUAUUUUAUUACAAAAAAAAUGCAUUGGCUCUGAGAAAGAGUUGAAGAGACAUCAGAACUGAAAUGGGUAGAAGGUUUGGCACCUACUUUGUCCACCUUUCUCCCAUUAUUUAAUAUAUAAUACAAUGUCAGAUGUAUGCCUAAUAUGCAGCUGGACUAUCAGUCUUUCAAGUACAUUCUGGUCUCUUGUAACUGGCAACAGCUGUGUAUCAUCUCGUGCUUCCUGAGCCUGUUAACUGGAGAGGCUGCGAACUGAACUGAAGAUCUUCUGCAAAGAAAGCAGGGCCGUGGGUCACAUCCCACAGAGACAAUGAACACAUACAGGAAACUCACGGCUGAAGCAUAAUGAAAAUCUAACAUUCUGAACCUAAAAGACAUUAUGGGGAUGCAAGUCUCACCUACUUAAGUGAACUUUAUUGUCUGAGAAUACUGAGGAUAAAAUCCUGAUUUUUUGAAACCUUAUAAACUAAAUAAAUCUAUUUAAGUAC